rnacentral:rRNA from 1 species
GACGAACGCUGGCGGCGUGGAUUAGGCAUGCAAGUCGAACGGUAUCAUCCUUUCGGGGGUGAGAGAGUGGCGAACUGGUGAGUAACACGUAGGUUAUCUACCCUCAAGACGGGGACAACCCAGGGAAACUUGGGCUAAUACCGGAUGUGAGCAACUUUUAGUUGUUUGAAAGGUGGCGUAAGCUGUCGCUUGGGGAUGAGCCUGCGUCCUAUUAGUUAGUUGGUGAGGUAACGGCUCACCUAGGCAAUGAUAGGUAGGCGGCCUUAACGGGUGGUCGCCCACACUGGGAUUGAGAUACGGCCCAGACUCCUACGGGAGGCAGCAGUCGAGAAUAGUCUACAAUGGUCGGAAGACUGAUAGUGCGACGCCGCGUGAACGAUGAAUCCCUUCGGGGUGUAAAAGUUCUUUUAUAUGUGAGCAGUGCUUCUUAUAUUAACAGUAUGGGGAGAGAGAUAUUAGCAUAUGAAUAAGCAACGGCUAACUCCGUGCCAGCAGCCGCGGUAAAA